AGAGUUUGAUCCUGGCUCAGAACGAACGCUGGCAGCGUGGAUUAGGCAUGCAAGUCGAACGGGAUCGGCCCGGUAGCAAUACUGGGCCGUGAGAGUGGCGGAAGGGCGAGGAGCACGUGGACAACCUGUCCCGUGGGUGGGGAUACCGUCCCGAAAGGGGCGUUAAUACCGAAUGGGGCUUUCAGGCCGCAUGGUCUGAAAGCCAAAGGCGGGGACCGCAAGGCCCGCCCCCCCGGGAGGGGUCCGCGCACCAUCAGCUAGACGGCGGGGUAACGGCCCACCGUGGCUUACGGUUAGCUGGUCUGAGAGGACGACCAGCCGCACUGGGACUGAGACACUGCCCAGACUCCUACGGGAGGCUGCAGUCGAGGAUCAUUCGCAAUGGGCGGAAGCCUGACGAUGCGACGCUGCGUGGAGGAUGACGGCCCUCGGGUUGUAAACUCCUGUCACGGGGGGCGAGGCGGAGGCGGUGAACAGCCGCCCGAGUUGACGGUACCCCGAGAGGAAGCCACGGCUAACUCUGUGCCAGCAGCCGCGGUAAUACAUAGGGGGCAAGCGUUAUCCGGAAUUAUUGGGCGUAAAGGGUGCGUAGGCGGUUUGUUAAGUUUAAGGUAUAAGCUCAUGGCUCAACCAUGGGAGGCUUUAGAAACUGGCAGACUUGAGUAAGGUAGAGGCAAGUGGAAUUCCAUGUGUAGCGGUAAAAUGCGUAAAUAUAUGGAGGAACACCAGUGGCGAAGGCGGCUUGCUGGGCCUUAACUGACGCUGAGGCACGAAAGCGUGGGGAGCAAACAGGAUUAGAUACCCUGGUAGUCCACGCCGUAAACGAUGAGUACUAAGUGCUGGAGGAUUCAGUGCUGAAGCUAACGUAAUAAGUACUCCGCCUGAGUAGUACGUACGCAAGUAUGAAACUCAAAGGAAUUGACGGGACCCCGCACAAGCGGUGGAUCAUGUUGUUUAAUUCGAGGAUACGCGAAGAACCUUACCAGGCCUUGACAUACCGUGCAAAGCUAUAGAGAUAUAGUGGAGGAUAACAUGGAUACAGGUGGUGCAUGGUUGUCGUCAGCUCGUGUCGUGAGAUGUUGGGUUAAGUCCCGCAACGAGCGCAACCCUCAUUGCUAGUUGCCAUCAUUAAGUUGGGGACUCUAGCGAGACUGCCAGUGACAAACUGGAGGAAGGUGGGGAUGACGUCAAAUCAUCAUGCCCCUUAUGGCCUGGGCUACAAACGUGAUACAAUGGCUGAAACAAAGAGCAGCGAAAGGGUGACCUGAAGCAAAACUCAUAAAAGCAGUCUCAGUUCGGAUUGAGGUCUGCAACUCGACUUCAUGAAGUCGGAAUCGCUAGUAAUCGCAGAUCAGAAUGCUGCGGUGAAUACGUUCCCGGGGUUUGCACACACCGCCCGUCAA
rnacentral:rRNA from 1 species